rnacentral:rRNA from 1 species
AAACCCUGAUCCAGCAAUGCCGCGUGAGUGAAGAAGGCCUUCGGGUUGUAAAGCUCUUUUGUCAGGGAAGAAACACCGGCUCUAACACAGUCCGGGAAUGACGGUACCUGAAGAAUAAGCACCGGCUAACUACGUGCCAGCAGCCGCGGUAAUACGUAGGGUGCGAGCGUUAAUCGGAAUUACUGGGCGUAAAGCGUGCGCAGGCGGUUAUACAAGACAGGCGUGAAAUCCCCGGGCUUAACCUGGGAAUGGCGCCUGUGACUGUAUAGCUAGAGUGUGUCAGAGGGGGGUAGAAUUCCACGUGUAGCAGUGAAAUGCGUAGAUAUGUGGAGGAAUACCAAUGGCGAAGGCAGCCCCCUGGGAUAACACUGACGCUCAUGCACGAAAGCGUGGGGAGCAAACAGGAUUAGAUACCCUGGUAGUCCACGCCCUAAACGAUGCUGACUAGUUGUUCGGGAUUUACAUCCUGAGUA